CCCAACCCUCCUUCCCAAUCAACGCCGCCGCCGCCACGACCAAGCCCUCCACCGCCGAGCCCCUCCGCCCACGACGGCGACUUCCGCCACCGACUCCCUCCGCGCACGACGGCGACUUCCACCACCGACUCCCUCCGCCACAGGUUGCUACCAUACUCAUCCUCGCCAAGGUCGACAUCGAGCGCCACCAGUUCGCCGCACCUACUGCCGCUCCUCUGAUCCUUGGUCCCCGCACGAGCUCACGCGCAGCAAGCACGCGCCACUCCCCCAUGGCAUCAUCGCCGCGGCCUAUCCCCAGCGCCGCCCCUGCUGCUGGCCCUCAUCGGCCGAGCGCCUCACAGCUGGUCCGCCGGCCGACCUCCGUCCGCCUAUGCGCCCAUGGACGGCUUCCAUCCCCCGACUCUGGUCAUCGACGCCUCGCCUAGCCUGCGCCAUGGCCCUUGGCCGCUGCACCGCCACCGCGUCGGAGAUUCGUCGUCCUUUCCCUAGGUCGCUCCAGGAGCUCGAGGCCCAGCAUUGCCCCAGAUCGGCCAACUCCCAAGCCUCCUCCACCGCCUGCUGCUGCUUUGCUCCUCCGGCGGCUGCAGCAAGAGCCAUUCCUGCUGUUGGCGCUCUCCACUGACUACGAGUCCGAAAAAUCAAUCGCAAAGUGAGGCUAUAACUAAUGGGAAUAAUAGCUAAAAAUGCAACAAACAUAUCUGGAAAUGAAGCAGGGAAGAUAUAAGAGAAGUUGUUGAAGUAGAGAAGCGGCAUACCGUGAAGGGCACGAGCUAUUGCACGAGGAGUUCACAGAGCCACUGCAUGGUUUUUCUUCUGAGACAUGAAGAAUUAAUCAAGGGAACAUGACACUGAUGCAGGUGGUGGAGUUGAUUGCCAACAGUGAACCACGUGUUCCAUUCUCGGACACCAAGCUCACAAUGUUAUUUCGGGUUCCUGGAAGAUUCACAAGUUGCUGGAGCUUUGGAAGACCCACAAGUUGCUGGAGUUUUGGAAGACCUACAAGUUGAUGGAGUGUUAAUCAAUAUGCAAUAUUCCUUGUUUGUUUGUUGGACCUGGGAUAUUGCCAGCUUACUCUACUAAUUUUGGUCGUUCUUUUUUUUGGCACAUAAGUCAUUGUAUGCCUGUUUUGUAUGUGAAGCACAAUUUCUCUAUAACUUAGGUAAAUUUUCUUGUGUGGUACAAUGUGCUUAUAUAUGUUUGUCUCAUGUAUAA